GCCGGCUGGAGGAGCCGAGGUUCCGAGUGCGGCCGCUGCUGGGCUGGCGGGCGGGCAGGCAGAGCACGGCACCCUGGCAGCAGGGCCCACGCCACGGGGCCAUGGGCAGCUCGAGCCAGGCAGGCUGCAGCCCACGCUUACUGCCAGGGUGACCCCAGCCCCGGGGCCCAGCCCCAACCACCCUGGCUUCAUGCCAGGGGCUGCUCUGGCUGCCAGUCGGCCAGCCUCGGGGGUGCAGCCUGGGCUGGGACUGCUGCUGGGGUGCAGGUGAGGCACUGGCCGGGCCCUCAGGCCCCAGGGCAGGCAGGCUGCAGGGAGCCAAGUCCUCCAUGGCGGCCCCAGCUGGGAAGACGAACAGGACAGGGGCACUGCGGCCCAGGGCCCAGAAAGGCCGGGUGAGGCGGGCCGUGCGCAUCUCCAGCCUCGUGGCCCAGGAGGUCCUGUCCCUGGGCGCCGACGUGCUGCCUGAGUACAAGCUGCAGGCACCACGCAUCCACCGCUGGACCAUCCUGCAUUACAGCCCCUUCAAGGCCGUGUGGGACUGGCUCAUCCUGCUGCUGGUCAUCUACACGGCCGUCUUCACACCCUACUCGGCUGCCUUCCUGCUGAAGGAGACGGAAGAAGGCCCGCCUGCUACCGAGUGUGGCUACGCCUGCCAGCCGCUGGCUGUGGUGGACCUCAUCGUGGACAUCAUGUUCAUUGUGGACAUCCUCAUCAACUUCCGCACCACCUACGUCAAUGCCAACGAGGAGGUGGUCAGCCACCCCGGCCGCAUCGCCGUCCACUACUUCAAGGGUUGGUUCCUCAUCGACAUGGUGGCCGCCAUCCCCUUCGACCUGCUCAUCUUCGGCUCUGGCUCUGAGGAGCUGAUCGGGCUGCUGAAGACUGCGAGGCUGCUGCGGCUGGUGCGCGUGGCGCGGAAGCUGGAUCGCUACUCAGAGUACGGCGCGGCUGUGCUGUUCUUGCUCAUGUGCACCUUUGCACUCAUCGCGCACUGGCUGGCCUGCAUCUGGUACGCCAUCGGCAACAUGGAGCAGCCGCACAUGGACUCGCGCAUCGGCUGGCUGCACAACCUGGGCGACCAGAUAGGCAAGCCUUACAACAGCAGCGGCCUGGGCGGCCCCUCCAUCAAGGACAAGUACGUGACGGCGCUCUACUUCACCUUCAGCAGCCUCACCAGCGUGGGCUUCGGCAAUGUCUCUCCCAACACCAACUCAGAGAAGAUCUUCUCCAUCUGCGUCAUGCUCAUUGGCUGUGAGUGUGCCCAGGGGCGGGUGGCGGGGAGAGCCCACGGUGGAGGAACCCAAGUUGGAGGAAACUGAGGCUGCUAGCCCGGCCAGAGUGAGGCCCCUGGGACUUAGAGACUCCAGGGGCCACCAUCGUGACAUGGUUUGGGGGCUGGGUCACCAGGGCGGGGACUACUGAAGGGUGGGGUGUGCUGGAGCGCAGAUGUACAAGGACGUCUCGUGGGCAUGUCGACGCUGAGACUGAGACACUGACCUGGUGCGGGGCCUGAGCAGGGUCCCUGUGGGUGGGUGGGGUCCCUGCAGAGGCUGAUGGCCCCACGUGCCCACGCCCCCAGCCCUCAUGUACGCUAGCAUCUUCGGCAACGUGUCGGCCAUCAUCCAGCGGCUGUACUCGGGCACAGCCCGCUACCACACACAGAUGCUGCGGGUGCGGGAGUUCAUCCGCUUCCACCAGAUCCCCAAUCCCCUGCGCCAGCGCCUCGAGGAGUACUUCCAGCACGCCUGGUCCUAUACCAAUGGCAUCGACAUGAACGCGGUGCUGAAGGGCUUCCCUGAGUGCCUGCAGGCUGACAUCUGCCUGCACCUGAACCGCUCACUGCUGCAGCACUGCAAACCCUUCCGAGGGGCCACCAAGGGCUGCCUUCGGGCCCUGGCCAUGAAGUUCAAGACCACACAUGCACCGCCAGGGGACACACUGGUGCAUGCUGGGGACCUGCUCACCGCCCUGUACUUCAUCUCCCGGGGCUCCAUCGAGAUCCUGCGGGGCGACGUCGUCGUGGCCAUCCUGGGUAUGGGGUGGGGGGCGGGCACUGGACUGGAAAUGCCCUCUGCAGCCUCAAGAGGUGCGAGCCUUCUGAAUAUGCAGUCACUGGGGCUGUGGACCUGGGACUGCCUGCAGGGUCACUGGGCUCCUUUAAUUCACCUAAACUCAGGCCCUCCAAGCGGGGCCAUGGAGAGGAGCCCCACGUGGGGUGGGGCUGCUGAACUCUGGGGUUCCCACAUUCUCCUUCCCUUCAGGAUCCGCCACAAACAGAUACUUUUUGCUUCGUUAAAGUAGGAUCAAAUCUAGAUCCUCCAGCCUGGGCAGUAGAGGAAGAAAUGCUAGCCUGGAAGCUCGGCAUUUGGUUUCACUAAGGGCCAUGUGGUUCCCUGCAGCCUCAUGCCUGGCCCCUUGACAUAUCCAAAGCAAAGGGAGUCCUGCCCCCUCCCCCCACUUCCUUUGUACCUUGCCUGUGCACAGUGGGUGGGUUGGUGUGUCUGGACACUGAGGACUUCCUCCCCUCUGCCUGUUCUUCCCUCGGCCCUGUGUGCCUCAGGGCAGAUAUAGCAAACUCUUUCAACCAUAGUUGAUAGUAGGACAUUUUAGAUUUUGUUUCUUAGCUCUGUACAAACACAAAUACACACCCCCACACAACUAAAAUCAAAGUUUCACUACAUAACACUGGGCCUUACUGCAUGUGGUUCGUUCUAGCAUUUCUGUUCUGUGCUGUGCUAAGCUAUACUACUGUAUGUUCUUUCAGUAAAAAAAAA
rnacentral:sRNA from 1 species